rnacentral:tRNA from 1 species
UGGGCUAUCGCCAAACGGUAAGGCACUGGACUCUGACUCCAGCAUCUAUAGGUUCGAAUCCUAUUAGCCCAG